AUUGAACGCUAGCGGGAUGCCUUACACAUGCAAGUCGAACGGAGUGGCGAACGGGUGCGUAAUGUAUCUGAACCUGCCCAGUAGCUGGGGAUAGCUACCCAAUAGCGUAGCUAAUACCGCAUACUAUUUGAGCGGCCUAUAUCGGUUUAGGGAGUUGGGGGGGUCAAGGCCAACCAAGGCGACGAUCCCUAGCUGGUUGGAGAGGACGACCAGCCACACUGGGAGGGAGACACGGCCCAGACUCCUACGGGAGGCAGCAGUGGGGAAUUUUGGAGAAUGGGGGAAACCCUGAUCCAGCCAUCCCGCGUGUGGGAUGAAGGCCUUCGGGUUGUAAAGCACUUUUGUCAGGAAAGCGGUACCUGCAGAAUAAGCACCGGCUAACUACGUGCCAGCCGCCGCGGUAAUAC
rnacentral:rRNA from 1 species